GAGCUCGCUUCGGCAGCACAUAUACUAAAGUUGGGGCGAUAUAGAGAAGAUUAGCAUGGCCCCUGCACAAGGAUGACACGCAAAUUGGUGAAGCGUCCCAUAUUUUU
ensembl:snRNA U6 U6 spliceosomal RNA